rnacentral:lncRNA from 1 species
UGAUCUUGCAUUAGGUUCCAGCGAGAUGUCUUUCACCUAUGUGGGCACCCCUUUGUUAAGCCUAUAAUUAGUCCCUUGUAGCACAUUUUUCUUCUUUUAUUUAUGUUUAUAAGACAAAUAAACUACUCAAUCUAUUAAAAAUAAUGUAUGUGUGUCGGGACCGAUACAUAGUUGGGUGACCAAACACCGUCUUAAAAUUUUGACAACUCUAAACUUAUAAUAAAGAUUUAACUCAUUCAAAAUAAAACUUAUCUCAUAUAUAUUCUUUCUCUAUGUAUAUAUAAAAGAAAGUUUGGCCUAAUGAACCCGUUUUUAUUUAAUAUUAUUAUAAUUGAACACUUGAAUUGCUUAUAAGUUGUUACUUUAGAAUAGGAAAAUGGUAAAAUAAAAAUAAAUGUAGUAGGAAGAGCCAUGGGAAGGUCUAGGAUGGUUGGCAAUAAACAACGGUAGAAAGGGAAAGUAAGUGGGGUCACAGGGACAAGGUAAAGUGACCUUAACUAGAGGCCAAAAUUUGAACAUGUCAACAUCCACACAUUACAUGUGACGUGAAAUUGAUUGAAACACUAUUAGUAUUGUUAUUGUUAUUGGUGCGCGGCGUGCCUGGUGGACUGGUUGUUGUGGCUUGGCCCGGGUGCACUUCGCCCACCCAACUGCAUGUGCACAUACUGUUUUCAAUAGCCAAACCACCAAGCUCAGGGUUCUCUAUCGGCUUCGCUCGGCUUAGGUGAUACUACCC